AUCAAUAUUAUAUCCUAGGAUUUUUUUUUUUCUAUUUUUUUUUUUUUUUUUUCCAGGCCAAGUUGAAUUAAAUAUAUUAAAUGGGAAUAAGGAGAGAAAACUAUUGAUGUGCCUUUAAAAUAUCCUGUUUUCCCCCUCAUGAAAGCAUAAGCCAGAGGUUGUCUUGUUCUUGACAUAUUAGGACACAUGAGAGAGAAGGCCUAGGAGCAGCAGCAGCAGCAGUGAUUGAUGAAGUGACAUGGAGAUGAUCACCCAGCAGUGGAAGGAGUUGUGUCUACGAUUUCAAACUGAGGGACACAUCUUCCUCAGGGGAGGUGCAUUAGGUCUGUUAGCAACUUCAGAGUUGUAAGAUGGAAGAGGCAACAGGAAGGCUCAAAUACGUGGAGAAACCUUACACCUAACAAGAAGAUACAAAAAAGAGUGUGGUAUGUGGAGGACUGGCUGUACAGAAGUCCUGGCAUCAGAAAAGAGGACAGGGUUAAAGAGGGUAGGGGAGACCUUUCACAUGGCAAUAUGGCAAAUGGAAACGUGAGACAACAGAGCUGUUCUGGAGGAGGGUGA
rnacentral:lncRNA from 1 species